UAUCCUACGGGAGCAGCAGUGGGGAAUAUUGGGCAAUGGGCGCAAGCCUGACCCAGCAACGCCGCGUGAAGGAAGAAGGCUUUCGGGUUGUAAACUUCUUUUAUUGAGGACGAAACAAAUGACGGUACUCAAUGAAUAAGCCACGGCUAACUACGUGCCAGCAGCCGCGGUAAUACGUAGGUGGCAAGCGCUAUCCGGAAUUACUGGGUGUAAAGGGAGCGCAGGCGGGAAGCCAAGU
rnacentral:rRNA from 1 species